UUAACACAUGCAAGUCGAGGGGCAGCAUGGUCUUAGCUUGCUAAGGCCGAUGGCGACCGGCGCACGGGUGAGUAACACGUAUCCAACCUGCCGUCUACUCUUGGACAGCCUUCUGAAAGGAAGAUUAAUACAAGAUGGCAUCAUGAGUCCGCAUGUUCACAUGAUUAAAGGUAUUCCGGUAGACGAUGGGGAUGCGUUCCAUUAGAUAGUAGGCGGGGUAACGGCCCACCUAGUCUUCGAUGGAUAGGGGUUCUGAGAGGAAGGUCCCCCACAUUGGAACUGAGACACGGUCCAAACUCCUACGGGAGGCAGCAGUGAGGAAUAUUGGUCAAUGGGCGAGAGCCUGAACCAGCCAAGUAGCGUGAAGGAUGACUGCCCUAUGGGUUGUAAACUUCUUUUAUAAAGGAAUAAAGUCGGGUAUGCAUACCCGUUUGCAUGUACUUUAUGAAUAAGGAUCGGCUAACUCCGUGCCAGCAGCCGCGGUAAUACGGAGGAUCCGAGCGUUAUCCGGAUUUAUUGGGUUUAAAGGGAGCGUAGAUGGAUGUUUAAGUCAGUUGUGAAAGUUUGCGGCUCAACCGUAAAAUUGCAGUUGAUACUGGAUAUCUUGAGUGCAGUUGAGGCAGGCGGAAUUCGUGGUGUAGCGGUGAAAUGCUUAGAUAUCACGAAGAACUCCGAUUGCGAAGGCAGCCUGCUAAGCUGCAACUGACAUUGAGGCUCGAAAGUGUGGGUAUCAAACAGGAUUAGAUACCCUGGUAGUCCACACGGUAAACGAUGAAUACUCGCUGUUUGCGAUAUACGGCAAGCGGCCAAGCGAAAGCGUUAAGUAUUCCACCUGGGGAGUACGCCGGCAACGGUGAAACUCAAAGGAAUUGACGGGGGCCCGCACAAGCGGAGGAACAUGUGGUUUAAUUCGAUGAUACGCGAGGAACCUUACCCGGGCUUAAAUUGCAGAUGAAUUACGGUGAAAGCCGUAAGCCGCAAGGCAUCUGUGAAGGUGCUGCAUGGUUGUCGUCAGCUCGUGCCGUGAGGUGUCGGCUUAAGUGCCAUAACGAGCGCAACCCUUGUUGUCAGUUACUAACGGGUUCCGCUGAGGACUCUGACAAGACUGCCAUCGUAAGAUGUGAGGAAGGUGGGGAUGACGUCAAAUCAGCACGGCCCUUACGUCCGGGGCUACACACGUGUUACAAUGGGGGGUACAGAGGGCCGCUACCACGCGAGUGGAUGCCAAUCCCAAAAACCUCUCUCAGUUCGGACUGGAGUCUGCAACCCGACUCCACGAAGCUGGAUUCGCUAGUAAUCGCGCAUCAGCCACGGCGCGGUGAAUACGUUCCCGGGCCUUGUACACACCGCCCGUCAAGCCAUGGGAGCCGGGGGUACCUGAAGUGCGUAACCGCGAGGAGCGCCCUAGGGUAAAACUGGUGACUGGGGCUAAGUCGUA
rnacentral:rRNA from 1 species